AUACGGAGGGUGCAAGCGUUGUUCGGAAUCACUGGGCGUAAAGGGCGCGCAGGCGGUUUGGUAAGUCAGAUGUGAAAGCCCACGGCUCAACCGCGGAAGUGCAUUUGAAACUGCCAGACUUGAGUACUAGAGGGGAAAGUGGAAUUCCCGGUGUAGAGGUGAAAUUCGUAGAUAUCGGGAGGAAUACCGGUGGCGAAGGCGACUUUCUGGCUAGAUACUGACGCUGAGGCGCGAAAGCGUGGGGAGCAAACAGGAUUAGAAACCCGAGUAGUCC
rnacentral:rRNA from 1 species